AUUUAUAUAAAAUUCAUUAUUAAAGAACAUAAAAGAUUGAGUUUUCCUUAAAAAAUCUGCAAUUAUUUACAGCAGUAUUGCACAAGUAAAGUGACAAUUACCCUGUCAAAAAUUCAUCAGUGCAAAACACAAGUAAGCCAGGGAAAUUGCAAUAAAAAUGCUACAUAUGCUGGGUCCUAUGAAACAAAGUAAGUGAUUAAUCAGUCUAAGUUACAGAUCAGUGCUAUGUACAUAUUGGUACCUGAUGAGUUUUUAUACAGUAUUAGUGGUCUUUAAACCAGGGUACAAAAUAUUUAGAUUCUCUGAAAGCCCCAAAAAAUAAGUAGUCAAGUUAUUUACAUGAGAACUUGAGGGUGCUUCUUGUUGUAUAAGGAAAUGUAUGUGUAAAUGUCAAAUUACACAGUUGAUUUACCUGUGUGCAUGCACCAAAGCUCCCAUACAUCUACUGUAUGUAUGAGUGCAGAGUAAUAGAUACACAUGUAGGCACCAGACUAAACUGCAAUGACAGGGCUUUUCACUUGUUAUAUAUGGAGCCUAUCAGCAAAUAAAUUUUCUUAAAAACAUUCACAACUUAGCACAUCCUAAUAGCCAAUUAAAGAUUUCUCUCAUCUGGACUCAAAAUAAUCUCGAAUGAAAUACAAACUAAACUGAGGUCAAAUUAAUAGGACUAUCAGAAUGUUAUGGAUUACUAUUCCAUUGAGGGAAGAAGAGUAGGAAGGAUAAACCAUAUUUCAAUUGCAAAGUAAAUAACACACUGAUAUUAAAAUAAGUAAACUUAUACCCCCAUCAGCUUGCUCCCAAGUAAAUGGCUGGGGGAACAAGGCAAAAACAAAAACAAAAACAUAGGGUCCUCAUCUUAUUUCCUUCCUAACAAAUAAAGGAGAAAAAACCAGGGGAAUCAAACAACGUAAGUGAUCUCCUGUUCACUUAUCCCUCGAAUCCCAGACUUUGGCAACCUUUACAAUCUGAUCACCUUUUUGUUUUCUCAACUUUGAUUAGUCAAUGGCAGUAAACUUUUCCCAAGCUAAAUGUUAUUUUCUACCUAAAGAUGGGGCUUAGGGCAAACAAUCUGCUAUGGUUUACAACUGGAACAACUCAACUUGUAAAAUGAAUAAGAAUGAAAUCUAAAGGACCACAGUAGAAAAACCAUACAGACAGCACUGAAAGAGACAGUGCGUUAAACUGAUCAAUCACUCCUUCUGUGUUAAAGCAGAUAAUCUGGGGAAGGGAAAGGGAAUGCAUAACUUUACAGAACAUAAGAAAUUAAAUAAGCAGAAAAUAAAUAUACAAUAUUUCUACAAGUUACAGCAUUAUGAAACAGUAGAACACAUUACACAGAAAAGAAUCUACAUAUUUACAAAUGUCAAAAUCUAAAAAAAGUUUAGAAAACAGUGAUUUUUACUUAUUUACAAAAUCUUACAGAAAAGACAAAAGAACCACACACAAUUGCACACAGACAUUUGGCUCAGUUGAUAAGAGUUAAGUAAAGAUGUUCUACUCUAAUAAAUAUCCAAAUAUUUACAGUAAAAUAGAAGAGAGAUUUAAGGGAGGGAAUGAGGGAAAAUUUUUAUACAAAUUUUUAUAUCAGAAGAAAUUUAAACUGGUUUCUCCACAACCAAAGAAAAUUCUUCAUAAAGUUUUGGCAGGAUAGAAAGGAUAUGUCAUCUGAAGAGUUACUCAUGGAAUUAACUAUUUUGUAUUUGCUUAUUGCAUUUCAGUGUUAUGCCAUGGGAGACUUACUACAAACCCAACGUGGGUAGAGGUUGUCAAGGCACAAAACCCGCAUUAAGUUUUCAAAAAGUGGAACUAGCUGUCUUUAAAAAAAAAAAAAAAAAAAGUAUACCAAAGUAUACUCCUGCUGCAGGCAUCGUGAUCUCUAAGAGAUACAGUACAGAGAAAUGUAUUUCUCUCUCAAACUCAUGGUGCCAACAUCCUAUUCUCUACUGCUUCCAUAAUUCAUAGAAUUUCUACUAGGCUUAUCUAUAUAUCAUCAGCCUGAAGCAAUGGUGGCAAACCUGUUGCUCUACCAUGCUUGAGGUAAAUAUACAAAAAAGGACAAUAAUCCCCACUGUGGCACUGGGCCAGCAGAGCCUUACAAAAAUGUCCUUUUUAUCAGUUGCAUUGCUUCCAGCUCCCGGGGGAGAUGGAUACUUAAAAGAAACAGAAGUAAAGUGCUCCAGCUGUAGAAAUUAGAAUAUGAUCAUAGAUAUCCAAGUGGGGGAUUCAGGUGGAACCAAACAUCUUUGGUGUGUCCAGCAAGGUACACAAAUUUUAAUACUUUCUGUUACAGUCUUUGUUCAUUCUCACAACCAGUGGACAAUGUGACCUUACUAUAUAAGGUUUCAAGACUAAUUCAAGAAACCAUAGCUAAGAUCCAACAUAAUUCCUAUGAACCUAAUUCCAAAUCACUAAGAGGGAAAGAAAAAUCCUUCAGUGUAGAGAAAAAAAAUUCCUCUGAAUAUAUGGGAAAGAUGGAUAUACCCCCCCCCAAAAUUAUAUGUAAUUAUGAAACCACAUAUUCAACAUAAUUUUCAUCAAUUGUCAAGCAGAAUUACAGGAACACUGGAUCCUCUAAGGGGCAAAAGUUGGCACUGCUGACAAUCCAAAAGUUACUAUGAAACAAAAAAUUGCUCACAAGGCUAACUUUUCACCAUGAAAAAGUGGGGUUCAUGAAACAAUCCCCCAAACCAUAUGACCUCCCUCUCCCAUUCGUGGAUAAAAUGCAAACUCCAUGGACUGUUUUUCUUUGAAAAAUAAAAAUAAAAAUAAACAGAAACCUUUUUAAAUUCUUAGUCCUGACUUUAGUGGCAACUUCAAGAUGUAAAAGUUACAAUAAUCAGGAGUAGGAUCAUAUCUAAGGGAAGAGCUACACCUGCCAGGGAUGAGGCACUGAUGACCAGUGCAUAGAAUUCAUUUAAAAAUUUACCUCUCAAAUUAAAACGUAAUAAAGAAAAUGGCACUCAGAGGCUUAGAGAUGGCUUGAAAUAUUAAAUAUGUUGGAAUAUUUCAUAAUUAUGCCCAAUUGAAUUUUUCUAGGGUACUGGUGAAACCAGAAUUAAACCUGUACUUCCGAAGGAAUUUUGAUUUUGGGAAUUUCAGGCAUCAUAGGUUAGUGGGAGUCUAAAGAAAAUCUCAUUGAUGAGUCUUUAAAAAUGUCAACUGAAGGAGUUUCCCCCAAUCCCACCUCAGCUGGCAAGGCAUUUCCUAUUUAGUUAAAUCAUUGGGCAAUCUGGACUCAAGCUUUGGUCAUGCAAUCAAUCAAGUCUUUCUGAAGGUGACCGAAAACUUUUGGCUCUUUGUAUUCUACAACUACAGCAUUUCAUCCCUGCAUUAACAAUCUAUAAACAGUAACCAGUAGCCAAAAGUCCCAACCAACUCACUAU
ensembl:lncRNA